UGGAAGGGUAGCGAAGAGGCUAAACGCGGCGGACUGUAAAUCCGCUCCUUCGGGUUCGGGGGUUCGAAUCCCUCCCUUUCCAU
rnacentral:tRNA from 1 species